rnacentral:piRNA from 1 species
UGGCUAAGGACUCUCGCCUGCGUGGGAAC